rnacentral:rRNA from 1 species
CCAGCAGCCGCGGUAAUUCCAGCUCCAAUAGCGUAUAUUAAAGUUGUUGCAGUUAAAAAGCUCGUAGUUGAACUUCUGGCUUCUCUCUCAGGGUUUUUACCUUGCAGAGAGGGGUCAUCCGUCAGAGAGGCGCAUACGGCCUUAACUGGUCGGUGUGAGUAUCUGGCACUUUACUUUGAAAAAAUUAGAGUGUUCAAGGCAGGCUAACGCCAUGAAUACACAAGCAUGGAAUAAUGGAAUAGGACUUAGGUUCAUUUUAUUGGUUAUUGAAUCUAGGUAAUGAUUAAUAGGGACAGUUGGGGGCAUUAGUAUUUAAUUGUCAGAGGUGAAAUUCUUAGAUUUAUUAAAGACUAACUUAUGCGAAAGCAUUUGCCAAGGAUGUUUUCAU